AUUGAACGCUGGCGGCAUGCUUUACACAUGCAAGUCGAACGGUAACAGGCCUUCGGGUGCUGACGAGUGGCGAACGGGUGCGUAAUGCAUCGGAACGUACCCAGAGGUGGGGGAUAACGCAGCGAAAGCUGUGCUAAUACCGCAUGUGAUCUGAGGAUGAAAGCGGGGGACCAGGCAGCAAUGUUUGGCCUCGCGCCUUUGGAGCGGCCGAUGUCAGAUUAGGUAGUUGGUGGGGUAAAGGCCUACCAAGCCGACGAUCUGUAGCUGGUCUGAGAGGACGACCAGCCACACUGGGACUGAGACACGGCCCAGACUCCUACGGGAGGCAGCAGUGGGGAAUUUUGGACAAUGGGCGCAAGCCUGAUCCAGCAAUGCCGCGUGCGGGAAGAAGGCCUUCGGGUUGUAAACCGCUUUUGUACGGAACGAAAAGGCUCUGGCUAAUACCUGGGGCUGAUGACGGUACCGUAAGAAUAAGCACCGGCUAACUACGUG
rnacentral:rRNA from 1 species